UACGUAGGGUGCGAGCGUUGUCCGGAAUUACUGGGCGUAAAGAGCUCGUAGGUGGUUUGUCGCGUUGUUCGUGAAAACCUGAGGCUUAACCUUGGGCGUGCGGGCGAUACGGGCAGACUGGAGUACUGCAGGGGAGACUGGAAUUCCUGGUGUAGCGGUGGAAUGCGCAGAUAUCAGGAGGAACACCGGUGGCGAAGGCGGGUCUCUGGGCAUACUGACGCUGAGGAGCGAAAGCGUGGGGAGCGAACAGG
rnacentral:rRNA from 1 species